rnacentral:rRNA from 1 species
GGGGAAUAUUGCACAAUGGGGGAAACCCUGAUGCAGCAACGCCGCGUGAGUGAUGACGGUCUUCGGAUUGUAAAGCUCUGUCUUCAGGGACGAUAAUGACGGUACCUGAGGAGGAAGCCACGGCUAACUACGUGCCAGCAGCCGCGGUAAUACGUAGGUGGCGAGCGUUGUCCGGAUUUACUGGGCGUAAAGAGUGCGUAGGCGGAUGUUUAAGUGAGAUGUGAAAUACUCGGGCUUAACCUGGGUGCUGCAUUCCAAACUGGAUAUCUAGAGUGCAGGAGAGGAAAGUAGAAUUCCUAGUGUAGCGGUGAAAUGCGUAGAGAUUAGGAAGGAUACCAGUGGCGAAGGCGACUUUCUGGACUGUAACUGACACUGAGGCUCGAAAGCGUGGGGAGCAAAC